GGUUGUUAUUUUUAGAGCCUUCUACCGCCGGCGAAGCGCGAAAUCAUGGUAAAAGCAUCGCGAGUUAGAUAGAUCGUCUAUGAGUCGGUUUAAAAAGUACUCUUAUUUUGGUAUAAAUAAGAAUUAUGUAAUAUUUUGAAAGAAUGCGUUGUAAAUGCUAAAGAUACUGAGUUGUAAUAGUUUUAAUUAGAAGUUAAUUUACUCUGAUAUUUUAUGAUACCCAUAUCUUAUAUGUGUUGUAUAUGUUAGUGUAUGUUUCUGUUUUGUGCAGAUAGAAAAUUCUUACCUAUUCGGCGGGUCUGUUACACACAACCAAUCGGAUCCGUUGGGCGGGUCUUGAGGCUUGGCUGACUGAAUAAAAAACGAGGAUUAAAUUUUUCUUUCUUCUAUUAAUUAGGAUUUUAUCUGCUAAAUCAUUGUUAUCUUACUAAGGAUAGCAACAAAGUGGGAUGGGGUGGGGUGGGGUGGGGUGGGGUGGGGACGGAGAGCCGUUCCCAAUUCCUAUCCCCACAAAUUUAUAUAAUCUCCGUCCCCGCCUCAUCCUCGCCAAAGAAAAAAAAAUUAUUUUUCAUUACUGUCCCUCCAUCCCUGUCGGACCCUACGGAUUUUGAAAAAAUAUAUUCAAUAUUUAAUAUUUUCUUAUUUUGCAUACCAAAGCAGAAUUUUUAAAAAAUAGACCAAAUUAGCCCUCUCUUUUCUCUUUCUCUUUUCUCUCUUACUCUUAGCAUAUUAAUUUCUCUCUUUCUUAGAAAAACACAAUUAUAUCUAUUUUUUUUUUGAAAUACGAAAAUUGCCAUCACACACAAAAAUAAAAAAAAUUAAAAUUAAAAGCGUGCAAUCUCUUUUUAAAUAAU
rnacentral:lncRNA from 1 species